GUUUUCAUGGUCUCUCUGGCUCAAAGUGAGAAAACCUCCAACUACCACAGUGCAUUGCGCUCGCUGCCCCGCCCACCUGUUUCCGUUUAAAAGGGGGAAGGACCCAUGCGAGCAAACAAACUUUAUUCACAAAGUUAUUCACGAACCGUCGUUGACUAGUUUUGACUCGUUUUUCCAAAAGCAAUCAUGCCCAGUGGUUGUUUGGUACCCGGUUGCACCGAAAAGUCGAGGUUGGGACAGAGUGUAAGUUUUCACGGUUUGCCAGUGAAAGACGCUCAGCGUUGCAAACUAUGGCUGCGGGUGAUAAACAACCACAGAGUUGGAGAAGACACCGGGAAGGAAAUUAUAAAAGGAAAAACGAUAUGCAGUCUCCAUUUCAAACUGGAGGAUUUUGAUGGAAGACUUUUCGGCAAGAUAAGGUCCGCACUCAAACCAACUGCUGUUCCGUGCGUCUUCGCUGUGGGCCCGUGCCCAGAUGACGAACAGGCCGGGGCUUCUAAUGCACCUCCCGCAGCGAAACGCAGUCGCCUACAGAACGCUGAUAGUGGUCAUGGCGCAUUGACUCUCUCUGCAUCCUCCAACCCGCUGAAGACCUUCCCUUUGACAUCCACACCAGUGAAAACCUUUCCCUCGGACCAAGGACUAUCGACAUCGUGCCCCGACACACCUGGGACCCUUGAUUCAAGUUUUAGCACUGUGG